UACGGGAGGUGCAAGCGUUGUUCGGAAUGACUGGGCGUAAAGAGCACGUAGGCGGGUUUUCAAGUCAGAUGUGAAAUCCCCAGGCUUAACCUGGGAACUGCAUCUGAAACUGUUAAUCUUGAAUGCUUGAGAGGUUGGUGGAAUUCCAGGUGUAGGAGUGAAAUCCGUAGAGAUCUGGAGGAACACCGGAGGCGAAGGCGGCCAACUGGCGAUGCAUUGACGCUGAGGUGCGAAAGCGUGGGUAGCAAACAGG
rnacentral:rRNA from 1 species